rnacentral:rRNA from 1 species
AUGGACAAUUGGAGAUUGCCGCAGGGGAAGAUCUUCCCCAUCACCAAGUCUUGCCAUGGCAUCGUCCUCCUACGCUGCCUCGACUACGAUCUGCACUACGUGGGGAACCCUUCAGCCAACGAGCUCUUGGCCCUGCCGGACAGAACACCGGCCAGGGUGGCCUGGGCCGGCGGCAGAACCCACAUGAUCUACGGCAUGGGUUACUGCUCGAUGACCAAGCAGUACAAAAUAGUGCGCAUGUACAAUUUUGACCGUGACCUCGGACUGCACGACACGGUGUGUGAGGUCUACACUCUGGACGAGUCCACGCACUGGAGGCCUGCUGCCACGCAGCCUCACUCAUGCCAGCUACGAGUCAAUGGGAGGCAGGGAGCCGUUCUCUGCAACGGCAAUCUGCAUUUCGUCCACAAGCAUGGUCUAGACCUCCUCACCGUUUUCAAUAUCCACGCCGAGACGUUCAGCACGAUGGUGCUGCCUCCGGAGAUGAGAUCAUACUCGCUGGACUUCAUGCUAACUGAGCUGGGCGGUUUCCUAUGCGUCUAG